UACGAAGGGGACUAGCGUUGUUCGGAAUUACUGGGCGUAAAGCGCACGUAGGCGGAUUUGUAAGUCAGGGGUGAAAUCCCGGAGCUCAACUUCGGAACUGCCUUUGAUACAGCACGUCUUGAGUCCGAUAGAGGUGGGUGGAACUCCUAGUGUAGAGGUGGAAUUCGUAGAUAUUAGGAAGAACACCAGUGGCGAAGGCGGCUCACUGGUCCGGUACUGACGCUGAGGUGCGAAAGCGUGGGGAGCAAACAGG
rnacentral:rRNA from 1 species